rnacentral:rRNA from 1 species
UACGGGGGGGGCAAGCGUUGUUCGGAAUGACUGGGCGUAAAGGGCGCGUAGGCGGCUUUGUAAGUCGGGGGUGAAAGCCUGUGGCUCAACCACAGAAUUGCCUUCGAUACUGCAUGGCUUGAGACCGGAAGAGGUUAGUGGAACUGCGAGUGUAGAGGUGAAAUUCGUAGAUAUUCGCAAGAACACCAGUGGCGAAGGCGGCUGACUGGUCCGGUUCUGACGCUGAGGCGCGAAAGCGUGGGGAGCAAACAGG